CAAGUGCACAUAUGUCUGUGGGUGAUGGAGUGAGUGCAGGAACUUGUUCCUAAAACUGUCGAGUAAAGGUGUAUCCAGAGGGCCACAGGGAAGCAGCUCCCAACAAAGCACGAUCAGGAUUCUUUGGAAUGUUCAUUGACAGCAGCUCCCCGGUUCCAUGCACUCUAAACACCUGCACAGGCACUGUGGAAACAGCUGGAAGGAGAGCAUGUAGCUAUCUGACAGAGCCAGUGGAGGAGAAGUUUAGGAUCCUGUUGUAACCUCUGCCAACCAAGUGGUGCGCUGCACAGCCGAGGAACGCCUGAGAUUCAUCAUCUCCUCGCACCUAUGAUUCUUGAGCUCCUGAUUAUGAGCGGGCUAAUUAAAGCAUGCGUCCAUGCUUCCAUGAGCUACCUCGACCUCAAGCUCUGUCUUCGGAGAGAAUUUCCCUGAAAUGCCCUCAGCAUGAAUUCUGAGCUUCCCGCAGCUUCUCUCAAAGAACGUCCAGCCACCUGGCUCCGAGUCUUGUCCUGUCCUGACCUGGAUUUUGCUCUAACUCUCAAAACCUGGUUCCAUUUGCA